UACACGUGAUAGAGUUUGAUCAUGGCUCAGGACGAACGCUGGCGGCGUGGAUUAGGCAUGCAAGUCGCGCGACGGCCCCUCGGGGUACGGAGCGGCGAACGGGUGAGUAACACGUGAGUAACCUACCCCAUCAUUCCGGAUAAUUGGCCGAAAGGCCUUGUAAUACGGGGGAGGAUCCCGAGGCGGCAUCGCUUUGGGAUCGAACGGGCAACCGGUGCUGGGAGGGACUCGCGGCUUAUCAGGUAGUUGGUGAGGUAACGGCUCACCAAGCCUACGACGAGUAGCUGGUCUGAGAGGAUGGUCAGCCACAUUGGAACUGAGAUACUGUCCAGACUCCUACGGGAGGCUGCAGUCGAGAAUCUUGGGCAAUGCACGAAAGUGUGACCCAGCGACGCCGCGUGAAGGAUGAAGGCCCUCUGGGUUGUAAACUUCUUUUACGGGGGAAGAAUAAAUGACGGUACCCCGUGAAUAAGCCACGGCUAACUACGUGCCAGCAGCCGCGGUAAU
rnacentral:rRNA from 1 species